AUUGAACGCUGGCGGCAGGCCUAACACAUGCAAGUCGAGCGAGCGGCGGACGGGGGAGUAAUGUAUGGGGACUGCCCGAUAGAGGGGGAUAAAUACUGGAAACGGUAGCUCAUAUCGCAUACUAUAGGCUAACCCACAUGGGAUUAGCUCGUAGGUGAGGUAAUGGUUCACUUUGGCGACGCUCCCUAGCUGGUCUGCGAGGAUGAUCAGCAACACUGGGACUGUGACACGGCCCAGACUCCUACGGAGGCAGAAGUGGGGAAUAUUGCACAAGGGGCGCAAGCCUGGUGCAGCCAUGCCGCGUGUAUGAAGAAGGCCCUAGGGUUGUAAAGUACUUUCAGGCGGGAGGCGUUACCGGCAGAAGAAGAACCGGCUAACUCCGUGCCAGCAGCCGCGGUAAUUC
rnacentral:rRNA from 1 species